rnacentral:tRNA from 1 species
UACCCCACUUAUAAAGGUCAAAUCCUUUUCUUUUUA